AUUUUUAUCUUUCCCUGUGCUUUAUAUCAUCCUCCUUUACCCUCUCUUUCUCCAUGCAAACCAUGGAAGCAAAGGAAAAAGAAAAGCUUUCAAGCAACAAGAAACCAAACCACAUGCUUCCACAGUGUCAGCCAGGACUGAUGCAUGGGAACUCCUAUGUGACAGUGGAUUCUUCAUCUUAAUUUGGUGCUAUCCUACCUGAGCUUUCUUUUAUUCCUUCUUUAAUUAAUUAUAUAUAUAUAUAUAUAUAUAUAUAUAUAUAUAUAUUCUUCUUGACCUUGUAAGACCUUUAGGUGACCUUAUACCACCCAAUCCAGUGCUUGUCCUUAUAGCAGAAUCACCCUAUUUUCCCACCCCAUUGCUUCCAAUCUCUCCUUCACCUUUCUUGUCUAUCCCUCCUGAGCUGUAAAAUUACUAUUAUUACUAUUAAGAACAAUAAAAGCUCUCACUUUCCUGUUUAGGGUUAAGUGCUUGAAGGCCACCAUGAACUGGAUUUGUUAUUGUAUGUGCAGAGA